rnacentral:lncRNA from 1 species
CAGGGAGAGUGGCCCUCAUCCAAAGCCUGAAAGCGGACACACUGUGCUCCCACUCUGAAAUCUCUCGAGCCACAAAGGCAAAAUUUCACACCAAGAAACUUCAUUUCAUGCACAAAAUUACUAAAAAUAUUAUGUGGAAUUACCUCCGGCUUAGGUGCAUGAGACCUACAGAAAACACACACCGGUUUCGUGUUCAGACCUGCUUCCCACCUCAAGAUCUCCCAUCAGGCGAAGGCUGACACAGUCCAGAGCUCCCCUUCCUAUUUCUCCCAGGAGCCUCACACACUCCCGGGGCACACUAAGCUCACAGAUCUCCAACAGGGCCUUCCUGACUGGUCCCCAACACACACACACACUUCAACCACAAAAAGGGGAAAGCUGGACAAAGCCAGGAAAGCCCCUCUCCAACAGAGCGGCUGAGGAAUUUGUUUCUUGAAGCAUCUCCCCAUGAUCACUCGCUGUAAAGGAAGAGAAAUCUGAAAAUCAUGGCUUUUCCCUGAUGAAUUCAGCAACAGCUCAUUGUCGGGGGGGGGGUGCGCAAAAGUCAGUGAGUUGGCUGGAAACCAUGACUGCUCAGUAACAGCCGGCCCACGCCCGACCCACACACUGGGGAAGCCCUGUGCUUACCAGCAGCAUACAAAGGACUGGCUUCCUCGAAAAAAGGAAAAGGAAAAAGUAGCCAGCAUAUUUUCAGGGAAUGGAGAAGGAAGAGGUAAAGCAGAGACCAGAGCUAUCUGGACUGCAGACUGGCUGGCUUUCCCGGGCGCACAGAGCUAUCAGGAAAGGAAGUGAAGAAGUGACCCUGCAGCUGCUGAAGUGGGGAGGGCACUGGCCACGAGGGCUGGCUCUGUCUGUGCUCCUCAAAGUCGGAAAUGAGAAAUCAGGA